rnacentral:rRNA from 1 species
AGCUCCAAUAGCGUAUAUUAAAGUUGUUGUGGUUAAAAAGCUCGUAGUUGGAUCUCGGCGGUCUGAGGGCGGUUCGCUUGAUUGAGUGCUACUGCUCUGUAGGCCGUGUUUUCGCCAGAGGUCUCGGGGUGCUCUUAACCGAGUGUCCUGCGAUGCUGGCAGGUUUACUUUGAAAAAAUUAGAGUGCUCAAAGCAGGCUUUUACGCCUGAAUAUUCGUGCAUGGAAUAAUAGAAUAGGAAGUCGUUUCUAUUUUGUUGGUUUUCGGAAAUCGACUUAAUGAUUAAUAGGGACAGUCGGGGGCAUUUGUAUUCAAACGACAGAGGUGAAAUUCUUGGACCGUUUGAAGACAAACUACUGCGAAAGCAUUUGCCAAGAAUGUUU